AUCAUGGAGAGUUUGAUCCUGGCUCAGGAUGAACGCUGGCGGUAUGCCUAACACAUGCAAGUCGAACGGAAUCUUCGGAUUCAGUGGCGGACGGGUGAGUAACGCGUGAGAAUCUGCCUUCAGGAUGGGGACAACAGUGAGAAAUCGCUGCUAAAACCCAAUGUGCCGAGAGGUGAAAUACUUGUAGCCUGAAGAGGAGCUCGCGUCCGAUUAGUUAGUUGGUGGGGUAAGAGCCUACCAAGGCAGCGAUCGGUAGCUGGUCUGAGAGGAUGAGCAGCCACACUGGGACUGAGACACGGCCCAGACUCCUACGGGAGGCAGCAGUGGGGAAUUUUCCGCAAUGGGCGAAAGCCUGACGG
rnacentral:rRNA from 1 species